rfam:Cyphellophora europaea CBS 101466 unplaced genomic scaffold supercont1.1, whole genome shotgun sequence.
GGGCGCUUGGUCUAGGGGUAUGAUUUUCGCUUCGCACAAUCUGUAUGAGGUUGAGAGCUUGUGAAAGGUCGUGGGUUCAAUUCCCACAGUGUCCA